rnacentral:tRNA from 1 species
ACUUUCAAAGGACAACAGACCAUCCAUUAAUCUUAGGAGUUAACCCCUCUUGGUGCAAUUCCAAGUGAAAGUA